UGCGAUAAGGGGACCCCAAGUGCGAGGGCAUAUAGUCCUCGCUUUUCUCGACUGUAAGGCGGUCGAGGAAUAAGAGCUGGGCAAGACCGGUGCCAGCCGCCGCGGUAAUACCGGCAGCUCAAGUGAUGACCGAUAUUAUUGGGCCUAAAGCGUCCGUAGCCGGCCACGAAGGUUCAUCGGGAAAUCCGCCAGCUCAACUGGCGGGCGUCCGGUGAAAACCACGUGGCUUGGGACCGGAAGGCUCGAGGGGUACGUCUGGGGUAGGAGUGAAAUCCUGUAAUCCUGGACGGACCACCGAUGGCGAAAGCACCUCGAGAAGACGGAUCCGACGGUGAGGGACGAAAGCUAGGGUCUCGAACCGGAUUAGAUACCCGGGUAGUCCUAGCUGUAAACGAUGCUCGCUAGGUGUGGCACAGGCUACGAGCCUGUGCUGUGCCGUAGGGAAGCCGUGAAGCGAGCCGCC
rnacentral:rRNA from 1 species